rnacentral:rRNA from 1 species
AAACCAGGAUUAGAUACCCUAUUAUAUUUAAACAAAUUGGGUAGUAUUAUUAAUAAAAACCUUUAUACUUUGGCGGCAUUUUAUCUUAUUAGAGGAAUAUGUUCAUUAAUCGAAACCACACGAUAGUUUUUACUUACUAUAAAAUUUUAUAUACCCCCGUCUAAAGAAUUUAUUUAAAAUUUUUAUUCCAAAUUAUAUUAAAAAAAGUUAGGUAAAGGUGUAGACUAUUAGUAAGAUUAAAUGUAUUACAUUAAAAAAAAAUUUAAGGAUAAAACAGUUAACUGUUUAUUAAAAGAGGAUUUAUAAGUAAUUUACUUUUAAUAAAAAUUAAUGAAUAAGAAAAUAAAUGUGCACAUAUCGCCCGUCACUCU